rnacentral:sRNA from 2 species
AGAUGAUUGAUUCGCCAGCGUCUGAAAAAAUGAUGAAAGUCUUAAGUAAUGA